rnacentral:rRNA from 1 species
UACAGAGGUCCCAAGCGUUGUUCGGAUUCAUUGGGCGUAAAGGGUGCGUAGGCGGCGCGGUAAGUCGGGUGUGAAAUCUCGGAGCUUAACUCCGAAACUGCAUUCGAUACUGCCGUGCUUGAGGACUGGAGAGGAGACUGGAAUUUACGGUGUAGCGGUGAAAUGCGUAGAUACCGUAAGGAAGACCAGUGGCGAAGGCGGGUCUCUGGACAGUUCCUGACGCUGAGGCACGAAGGUCAGGGGAGCAAACGGG